AAAAAUAUGCUAUAGCAUUUGAUAUGCCAGAAGUUGCGUCAGAUUGCAAUAACCUGAUUGCAAUGAUAAAUUAUGAGCUUCAAACUCGACCAACCUUCGUAAUAGAAUUGGAGACGAUACAUAUUCUUCAGCUAUGACUGCAAAGUCAUUUCAUAGAAAAUUUUAUUUUAUUAGUUGUUCUCUUCUGGUCUAUUUAUCUAAACCAACUCAAGUUUGAACAAUAAAAUAACUGUUCGUUGUCAAAAAAAAAUU
rnacentral:lncRNA from 1 species